rnacentral:rRNA from 1 species
UACGAAGGGGGCUAGCGUUGCUCGGAAUCACUGGGCGUAAAGGGUGCGUAGGCGGGGCUUUAAGUCAGGGGUGAAAUCCUGGAGCUCAACUCCAGAACUGCCUUUGAUACUGAGGAUCUUGAGUCCGGGAGAGGUGAGUGGAACUGCGAGUGUAGAGGUGAAAUUCGUAGAUAUUCGGAGGAACACCAGAAGCGAAGGCGGCCAACUGGCCCGAUACUGACGCUGAGGCGCGAAAGCGUGGGGAGCAAACAGG